rnacentral:lncRNA from 1 species
CUGUUUGUAAUAAAUACUUAAUAUAAGAUCUAGGUAUGCCCAUGGAGUGAUUUGAGUUAAUUAGGUCCUCAGAAAUGGAGAAGUGAAAUUUCUUGGAUUUGCAAAACUUCUGUCCUGACUCAGAUCUGGAAUCCUCUUCCUUUAUCUUGGUCCUUUCUCAUAAAACUGCACUGUCUAUGUCUCCAAUUAUUUCCUUUCUUGCUCAUCUGCAGUUGGUCUGAAAUUUUCUAUGCGAAUUUGAACAUGUAUACUUUCUAUCUUGAUUACUUAGGCACCACCAACUUAAUUUUUUUUGUACCGGUUACUUUUUUUUAUCUAUUAGCUAUGGCAUAAAUGUACGCAAUAAAAGAUACUUUGAAUGUCUUUCAUCAAAAAAAACAUUGUGCCACAGAGUAUCUUAUGCCUGGGAAAUCAUGUGAAAGAGUGCUCCACAUUUGUACCUGGAGGAAUUUUAUAUCCCUCCUUGGCUUUAGGCAGAGAAAAUAAUUUAUUCUGAGAGCCCAGAGUAUAAUGUAAAUGGUCCCCCCUGGAAUCAGGCAGCACUGCAGUACUAGUUUUGAAGAUGAGUCCUGCCUUAAUGAUGCUCUCAUUUCUCAAAACCACUUUAUUUCUGUUUGAUCUCUGUCUCCCACAAUAAGAAAUCUAUACUGACUACAGUACUUGGGAUUAAAACUAUGCAUUUUUAUUUAUUUAUUUAUUAAAAUUUUAUUUUCCCACUGUACAGCAAGGGGAUCAAGUUAUCCUUACAUGUGUACACUACAAUUACAUUUUUCCCCCACCCUUUGUUCUGUUGCAACAUGGGUAUCUAGACAAAGUUUUUAUUUUUUGGACUUUUUUUUUUUUUUCGUUUUAGAGAGNACCACUUUAUUUCUGUUUGAUCUCUGUCUCCCACAAUAAGAAAUCUACACUGACUACAGUAGUUGGGAUUAAAACUAUGCAUUUUUAUUUAUUUAUUUUUUUGGACUUUUUUUUUUUUUUUUCGUUUUAGAGCAGCACCCAAGGCAUAUGGAGGUUCCUAGGCUAGGGGUCAAAAUGGAGCUGUAGCUGCUGGCCUACACCACAGCCACGGCAACACUGGAUCCAAGCUGCAUCUGUGACCUACACCACAGCUCAUGGCAAUGCCGGGUCCUUAGCCCACUGAGGGAGGCCGGGGAUUGAACCUGCAUCCUCAUGGAUGCUAGUUGGGUUUGUUAACCCCUGAGCCAUGAUGGAAGUUCCUGCAUUUUUAUUUUUUGUUUUAUUGAAGUAUAGUUAAUUUACAAGGCUAUGGUAAUUUCUACUGUAUAAACAAUUCCUUUUUAAACAAAAUACUUAGCUGUUAGGCUUAUUGUUUAGAUAUUUUAAUUAUUUAGCCUAUUGGUUAUAUAAGCUUUACCUGAAGCUUUACAGAGAAUUGUUAUACUGAAUCUAUGAACUCAAAGGUUUUCCAUACCCUGUGAUUUGUAUGUUGAUGAG